rnacentral:rRNA from 1 species
GACGAACGCUGGCGGCGUGCCUAAUACAUGCAAGUCGAGCGGAAUGAAGAAGAAGCUUGCUUCUUCUGAUUUUAGCGGCGGACGGGUGAGUAACACGUGGGCAACCUACCUUGUAGAUUGGGAUAACUCCGGGAAACCGGGGCUAAUACCGAAUAAUCCAUUUUGCUUCAUGGCGAGAUGUUAAAAGGCGGCUUCGGCUGUCACUACGAGAUGGGCCCGCGGCGCAUUAGCUAGUUGGUAGGGUAAUGGCCUACCAAGGCGACGAUGCGUAGCCGACCUGAGAGGGUGAUCGGCCACACUGGGACUGAGACACGGCCCAGACUCCUACGGGAGGCAGCAGUAGGGAAUCUUCCGCAAUGGACGAAAGUCUGACGGAGCAACGCCGCGUGAGUGAAGAAGGUUUUCGGAUCGUAAAACUCUGUUGUUAGGGAAGAACACGUACGAGAGUAACUGCUCGUACCUUGACGGUACCUAACCAGAAAGCCACGGCUAACUACGUG